UAUGUUAAAAGUGUUUUAUUGUAUCUGGAAGUAUUUUUUUAAAAAAUUUAUGCGUAGAAAGGUACACUAUAUGCUAAGACAAACAUUUGACUGACUGAUGUUAGAUACAAACCAUACCUAACUGUUCCGACUUGCGUACAAAUUGGACUGAAAGGCAGAUUUAGGAAUGGAACCCAUUCACAAUCCAGGGACUGCCUGUAUAUGGUAUGGUUUAAUUUACACGACAUGUCCAGAAUAAGCAAAUCCAUAGAGACAGAAAGUAGAUUAGUGGUUGCCAGGGGCUGAGGAAAGGGGACAGUGGGGAAUGACGCUAUUAUGGGUCCAGGUUUCUUUGUGAGGUGAUGAAAAUGAUGUGGAAUUAGAUAAUGGUGAUGGUUGUACAACUCUGUGAAUAUACUAAGAACCACUGAACUGUAUGCUUUAAAAAGGGUGAAUGUUAUAUGUAUGGAUUAUGUCUCAAUUAGGGAAAUCCAUCAGUGUCUGUGUGAUCCUCCUGAAGAAGACACGGAUCUUAGCUUCUUGGCUUAGAGUCUUCAUGAAAGCAAAACUGAGAUAAGGACUUGUCUGCAGAAAGUUUAUCUGGGUGUGUGGUAAAAUGAGUUCCUUUAUGUGGCCUUUCCCCUUGGUUCUUUGGAGAUUUUUCCCCUCAACCCUGAGGAGUUGUUUUGCCCUUUUUUUUUUACCCCAGAGGGUUUGUUACGUUGGUCCAGACUGGUUGACAUUUCCUGGGUAAACUAUAAACAACUUGGUCUGACAGUUUUUGUCUGGUCCUGGGCUGCAGCCUGCCCUGGGAUUGGUACGCACUUUACAGGGAUUGGUAAAUAGACUAUGCAAAUGAAGUGUCUGAGCCUACUACAUAAAUGAAGUGUCUGUGGCCUACCGAGGGGAUUAGUCCGUUUGUGGCCCCCACCCCCACCCCUGGGAGAGGCCAUGCCUUGAAAUUGGCAGGGAGUUGCGUACAUAUGCAGCCAGCCCCACAGAAGUCUCAGAGACAGAAAGAAGCAGGAAUAGAGGCAGCAGGAAGAAGCAGAAAAGGAAGAAAGGAGAGAGAAGGAACAGCAAGAGAGAGAGGAGGCAAGGAACCUCCUAAAAGAGCUAUAACAUGGGGCAACGGCUGUAACGCUGAAGACAGCGAGAGGUCCAGAAGGGUCCCAACAGCAGAGCUGGUGGUGACUGAAGAAAGGGCCAAGAGGAGCCUGUCCUCUGGGGCCCGAGAGGAGCUGAGAGAGCUGUCUUGUACUGAAGAAGGAAGACUUCGCCUACAUGCUUCCUCAUACUGACCCUGAGUUGUGGCCUGUUGAUCCUGAUCCUGAGUUGUACCGUGUUACUUCCUUAAUAAACCACUUAACUGGAGGUAACCCCAGGAGCUGGAGAGAGGACCAGGAGAGUGAGAGGUGAAGAGAAAGCCAGUUAACGAGGUCUCUACUGUGGGCAUUUUAGGCUCCAUCCUGCGGGGGACCUUCUGAGGAGUGUGUGGAAUUGUCCAUCCGAAGAUGGAGCCAUCAGCUCCCAUCCUCCAUUGGGCUCAUCUCCAGCUCCUGACUCAGUGGUCUGAUUGCCCAGGGAAAGGUGCCAAGGAGGAUGGUUUGAUUCUUGCACAGUCUGCUUUCCAAGAACCCACAGCAAGCCCCUUUGCCCUUGACACUCUGGACCUCAGCUCCAGAUGGAACCCUGCCCUGCCCCAAGAAGCUCCUCGCAGAUAUUCUCAGGGUGCAUCAGAAGGACCAGAUAACUGACCUGAGGUUGGGGAGUGUGGAUGGGUCCUGGGAACCCAGUCUCUACUAUCUAUCGCCUCCUCCUCCUCCUCAUGAAAGUUCCUGCCCCAGAGCUCAGCCAGACAUCAUUCUCUUGGAGGACUGGCAGGAAGGUCUGCCCCCUGCCCAUGCCCGUCUGAUGCUGCCCACCCAGGCACAUGCUCAGGCACUUGCCCAGGUGCAUGGCAGUUGUGGGGCCAGGGAUAAAGCUGUCCGGUCCCAAGACUUCCUCACAUGGCCCUUCCUUGGGUCCUGCAAAGUUAGGAACUGGACUUUUCCGGCUGAGACCAGGGUCUUUGAACUCCAGGCUACUGUGCUCAACCUAUAGGGGCUAAGAGUGUUGUCUGGGGCAGCCAUUGCUGCAGCUGCUCACUGUCUCUAUCAAAGAUUCCACCCAGGGAAAGAAUGCGGGAGCGGUUUGGCUCGCCCUGUCCAGACGGCUACUUGGAACACACACACGCGAGCACACACACAUGCAUGCCUUUUGGCACUCAAAUUUCUCAUGAAAUAAUUGCUGGAAGGCUCCUUGGAUUAGGAUUCCUUCCUUACC